rnacentral:rRNA from 1 species
UAUCCUGUCUGAAUAUGGGGGGACCAUCCUCCAAGGCUAAAUACUCCUGACUGACCGAUAGUGAACCAGUACCGUGAGGGAAAGGCGAAAAGAACCCCGGCGAGGGGAGUGAAAAAGAACCUGAAACCGUGUACGUACAAGCAGUGGGAGCACGCUUAGGCGUGUGACUGCGUACCUUUUGUAUAAUGGGUCAGCGACUUAUAUUCUGUAGCAAGGUUAACCGAAUAGGGGAGCCGAAGGGAAACCGAGUCUUAACUGGGCGUUAAGUUGCAGGGUAUAGACCCGAAACCCGGUGAUCUAGCCAUGGGCAGGUUGAAGGUUGGGUAACACUAACUGGAGGACCGAACCGACUAAUGUUGAAAAAUUAGCGGAUGACUUGUGGCUGGGGGUGAAAGGCCAAUCAAACCGGGAGAUAGCUGGUUCUCCCCGAAAGCUAUUUAGGUAGCGCCUCGUGAAUUCAUCUCCGGGGGUAGAGCACUGUUUCGGCAAGGGGGUCAUCCCGACUUACCAACCCGAUGCAAACUGCGAAUACCGGAGAAUGUUAUCACGGGAGACACACGGCGGGUGCUAACGUCCGUCGUGAAGAGGGAAACAACCCAGACCGCCAGCUAAGGUCCCAAAGUCAUGGUUAAGUGGGAAACGAUGUGGGAAGGCCCAGACAGCCAGGAUGUUGGCUUAGAAGCAGCCAUCAUUUAAAGAAAGCGUAAUAGCUCACUGGUCGAGUCGGCCUGCGCGGAAGAUGUAACGGGGCUAAACCAUGCACCGAAGCUGCGGCAGCGACACUGUGUGUUGUUGGGUAGGGGAGCGUUCUGUAAGCCUGUGAAGGUGUACUGUGAGGUAUGCUGGAGGUAUCAGAAGUGCGAAUGCUGACAUAAGUAACGAUAAAGCGGGUGAAAAGCCCGCUCGCCGGAAGACCAAGGGUUCCUGUCCAACGUUAAUCGGGGCAGGGUGAGUCGACCCCUAAGGCGAGGCCGAAAGGCGUAGUCGAUGGGAAACAGGUUAAUAUUCCUGUACUUGGUGUUACUGCGAAGGGGGGACGGAGAAGGCUAUGUUGGCCGGGCGACGGUUGUCCCGGUUUAAGCGUGUAGGCUGGUUUUCCAGGCAAAUCCGGAAAAUCAAGGCUGAGGCGUGAUGACGAGGCACUACGGUGCUGAAGCAACAAAUGCCCUGCUUCCAGGAAAAGCCUCUAAGCAUCAGGUAACAUCAAAUCGUACCCCAAACCGACACAGGUGGUCAGGUAGAGAAUACCAAGGCGCUUGAGAGAACUCGGGUGAAGGAACUAGGCAAAAUGGUGCCGUAACUUCGGGAGAAGGCACGCUGAUAUGUAGGUGAAGUCCCUCGCGGAUGGAGCUGAAAUCAGUCGAAGAUACCAGCUGGCUGCAACUGUUUAUUAAAAACACAGCACUGUGCAAACACGAAAGUGGACGUAUACGGUGUGACGCCUGCCCGGUGCCGGAAGGUUAAUUGAUGGGGUCAGCGCAAGCGAAGCUCUUGAUCGAAGCCCCGGUAAACGGCGGCCGUAACUAUAACGGUCCUAAGGUAGCGAAAUUCCUUGUCGGGUAAGUUCCGACCUGCACGAAUGGCGUAAUGAUGGCCAGGCUGUCUCCACCCGAGACUCAGUGAAAUUGAACUCGCUGUGAAGAUGCAGUGUACCCGCGGCAAGACGGAAAGACCCCGUGAACCUUUACUAUAGCUUGACACUGAACAUUGAGCCUUGAUG